ensembl:lncRNA
CCCUGGGUCAGUAAGAUCCCAUGGAGGAGGAAAUGCAACUCACCCCAGAAUUCUUCCCUGGUGAAUCCCAUGGACAGAGGAGUCUGGCGAGCUACAGACCAUAGGGUCGCAAAGAGUCAGACACAACGGAGCACAGCUUGGCAGCAGCAUGCCUCUAAAACAAGUGCUCCUUGCUGGCAGGGAGUUUGUCUGCUCUGCUUGCCUCUUAACACCUGGAGCCUAGAGCAGAGCCUGGUGUAUGAGACCUUCAGGAAACACAUAUAAAUAUCUGCUGAACAGACAUCCUCAGCUUUCUCCCUAGACCUGUGUCCAGACUGUCCCUUCUACAGGGCUGCAAGGUGAAAAAUCAGCAAAUGAAGCUAGCUGGACACUAUUUCAGAAACCCAGAUGCCUUAAAGAUUAUUUUCUAGUGCUGCCUGUGUUGCAGGUGGGGAGAGUUCAGGAUAAAUGAAAUGAUAAAUGGCCUCCUGACAAAUGCGAUGUCCCUGAAUCUCCUCCUUGCUUUCUGCCAUUGAAUUUCCUCCCCUGAACACAGCUCUGCAUAUGUCCAGGGUAGAUGGUAUCACGCUGAACACCCGCCAACCUACGGGCUUAAAACCACUUCCUCUUCUCUGUCUCUCACUUCUUUUCAAAAGGAUCUCUAAAACUCUGUUGAAAGCACUUCAUGGAAUUAUUGCUAUGUCUCUGUACAACUUCAAAUAAAAUGACGUCAG